UACGUAGGGACCAAGCGUUGUUCGGAUUUACUGGGCGUAAAGGGCUCGUAGGCGGCCAACUAAGUCAGACGUGAAAUCCCUCAGCUUAACUGGGGAACUGCGUCUGAUACUGGAUGGCUUGGAUUCGGGAGAGGAAUGCGGAAUUCCAGGUGUAGCGGUGAAAUGCGUAGAUAUCUGGAGGAACACCGGUGGCGAAGGCGGCAUCCUGGACCGAGAUUGACGCUGAUGCGCGAAAGCCAGGGGAGCAAACGGG
rnacentral:rRNA from 1 species